rnacentral:rRNA from 1 species
UACGUAGGGGGCUAGCGUUGUCCGGAAUCAUUGGGCGUAAAGAGCGUGUAGGCGGUCCGGUAAGUCUGCUCUGAAAGCCCGGGGCUCAACCCCGGGAGGCGGGUGGAUACUGUCAAACUCGAGUCCGGAAGAGGAGUGUGGAAUUCCUGGUGUAGCGGUGAAAUGCGCAGAUAUCAGGAGGAACACCAAUGGCGAAGGCAGCACUCUGGGACGUGACUGACGCUGAGACGCGAAAGCGUGGGGAGCAAACAGG